UACGGAGGGUGCAAGCGUUAUCCGGAUUCACUGGGUUUAAAGGGUGCGCAGGCGGAUAUGUAAGUCAGUGGUGAAAUCUUUGGGCUUAACCCGAAAAUUGCCAUUGAUACUAUAUAUCUUGAAUGCUGUGGAGGUAAGCGGAAUAUGUCAUGUAGCGGUGAAAUGCUUAGAGAUGACAUAGAACACCUAUUGCGAAGGCAGCUAACUACGCGAAUAUUGACGCUGAGGCACGAAAGCGUGGGGAUCAAACAGG
rnacentral:rRNA from 1 species